rnacentral:rRNA from 1 species
UUUUUAUGGAGAGUUUGAUCCUGGCUCAGGAUGAACGCUGGCGGCGUGCCUAAUACAUGCAAGUCGAGCGAACAGACGGGGAGC